rnacentral:SRP_RNA from 1 species
GCCGGGCGCGGUGGCUCAAGCCUGUAAUCCCAGCACUGUGGGAGGCCGAGACGGGCGGAUCACGAGGUCAGGAGAUCGAGACCAUUCUGGCUAACACGGUGAAACCCCAUCUCUACUAAAAAUACAAAAAAAAACUAGCCUCCCGAGUAGCUGGGACUACAGGCGCCCGCCACCUCGCCCAGCUAGUUUUUUGUAUUUUUUUAGUAGAGAUGGGGUUUCACCGUGUUAGCCAGGAUGGUCUCGAUCUCCUGACCUCGUGAUCCGCCCGUCUCGG